UUGUUCUUUAAAUGGGGACUUGUAUCAACGGCACCACGAGGGUUAGACUGUCUCCUUUUUCAAAUCAGUGAAAUUAAUCUCCCCGUGAAGAAGCGGGGAUACUCAUAUAAGACGAGAAGACCCCAUGGAGCUUCAAACCCAACUACACCCCUAGCUCUUAUAGCCCCACAACCCCCCCCCUAGGCGCC
rnacentral:rRNA from 1 species